CCCUUGUACACACCGCCCGUCAAGCCAUGGAAGUCGGGGGUACCCAAAGUCACUGAUCGAACCCGCAAGGGACGACAGUGCCCAAGGUAAAAUCGAUGACUGGGGCU
rnacentral:rRNA from 1 species